AGUGAAAUGACUGAUAAAAGUGAUAAAUUGUAAAUUUAUUAAUAAAUAGAAAUAUUUUUUUACUA
rnacentral:tRNA from 1 species